rnacentral:rRNA from 1 species
CGCGUAGGUGGUUCAGUAAGAUGGGUGUGAAAUCCCCGGGCUCAACCUGGGAACUGCAUCCAUAACUGCUGGGCUAGAGUACGGUAGAGGGUAGUGGAAUUUCCUGUGUAGCGGUGAAAUGCGUAGAUAUAGGAAGGAACACCAGUGGCGAAGGCGACUACCUGGACUGAUACUGACACUGAGGUGCGAAAGCGUGGGGAGCAAACAGGAUUAGAUACCCUAGUA